CCCCGCCUACCUGAGGGUCCGGACCGGGCGGACGCUCGCAGUAGGAGCACUUCCGCCAGACGCAUACACUUCCGGCCCCCAGGAGCCAAUGAGGAUGCGGGCGCGGGUGUUGCCCUUUCUGGCGUCCGGGCUGCGGGUUCUCUCCGGGAGGAUUCGGGCCGGUCGACCCUGAGGACGUGCGUGUGUUACAAUUUGGAUGUGAAAUCACUGUUCUAGCCCAACUGAAGACUGUUGACGCAGUUGGAAUGGUUCCCAUAACCUACCUUGCAAAAACGCUUCAGGUUCACAGAAUUUCCUUUGUGAAAACAACGAGCAGGGUGUCCGAGUUUUCCAUUUAGAUCAACAACUUCAAAUUCUUAGCAUGGAGAAUUCAGAGAAGACAGAAGUGGUUCUUCUUGCUUGUGGCUCCUUUAAUCCUAUCACCAACAUGCACCUGAGGCUAUUUGAGCUGGCCAAGGACUACAUGAACGGAACAGGAAAAUACAGGGUCAUCAAAGGCGUCAUCUCUCCUGUGGGCGAUGCGUAUAAGAAGAAAGGACUCAUCUCUGCCCACCACCGAGUUAUCAUGGCAGAAUUAGCCACCAAGAAUUCAGAAUGGGUGGAAGUUGACACCUGGGAAAGUCUUCAGAAGGACUGGGUAGAGACCUUGAAGGUGCUAAGACACUAUCAGGAGAAACUGGAGGCCAGUAGCUGUGAUCAGCAGCAGGACUCACCUAGGCUGGAGAGGCCUGGACGGAAAAGGAAGUGGGCUGAACAAAGACAAGAUUUUAGUCAAAAGGAAUUGCUAGAGCCAAAAACAAAAGAUGUGCCAAAAGUAAAGCUGCUGUGUGGGGCAGAUUUAUUGGAAUCGUUUGGUGUUCCCAAUCUGUGGAAAAGUGAGGAUAUCACCCGAAUUGUAGGAGACUAUGGGCUCAUCUGUAUUACUCGGGCUGGAAACGAUGCUGAGAAAUUCAUCUACGAAUCCGACGCACUGUGGAAACACCGGAACAACAUUCACCUGUCUUCCCCAGGGUCUUGGGAACAACGGCUGAAUGGAAAAUCAGUGAGAAUGAGUGAGAGCCCCAGAUUUUGAUGGCCUCGCUGGCAUCAUUCACUCUGCAGCACAGCACAGAAGAGGGGGGCCCACUGGGAUUUGUUUGUCUCAGCUCGUGGAGGCAAAGCCCCAGGGAGUGGAAAUACGGAUGGCAUGAAGUGUCCACAGUGUCCACGCCACUCUUUGUUGAACCAGUACCAGACUCCAUUGGGACAGCCCAGCCACCCAUGCUGUGGGAGAGCCAAAACAGCCCAUGGACGGACCCCCACGGAAAGGAGCCUGGCUCCCAGCCACACAGAUAGCCAACACUCAUUUGCCAGCCGUGAGAGUGAGCCGUUUUGGAGGUGUCUUCUCCCACUCUGCCAACUGGAGUCGUUACCCCAGCUGAUGCUACGUGGAGCCCGGAUCAGCCAUCCUCUGUGAGCUAUACCCAAAUUGCAGAUUAAUGAGGAAAUUAAUUAUUUUUUGUUAUUUUUUAAGCCAUUAAGUUUGAGCGGGGGCAAAAAUAACCUAUACACUAACUCCCCCAGUCUAGACUUUGGACCAGUCUACCAGGGAGAAGAAAAAAAAUUGAGAUACCCUGUGUUUAAAGUGUUUGAUAGAUGAACCCUACCUUAGUAGAGAAAGAAUGGUUCAGUGACUGUUGUUCCUAAGGCAAGCCACACAGUCUCGUUUUCCAGGAAUUUUUCCACUUCUAGCAGUGAAAAUCCCAGGUGUUGGGCAUUCCUUCAGUCCUGGGGAAGCCGGGAUGGGUGGUCACCCUAGUUGCCCCCAAGCAGAGAACUGUUCCGCUUCCAGGAGAAUGAAGUAGGUUUGGAAAGAGGCCGGGUGUUUAGGAGAAAUUCCUCUUAGUGGAGAGCAUGAUUAGAAAGGACUGUUGUGCUAAUUGAAUGACCUCGGGCAAUUUCUCUUUGUCUCAGUUUUUGUCUCCGUCAAAUGGACAUAAUAAAGUAACUACUGGAGAAGUA